CUGUGCUCCGUCUUCAUUUCUCUUUCCGUCUCUAUCAUUCUCUCUCUAUCGUUUUCUCCGUCCGUCCUAGAUCUAGGGUUUUCUCUCUCUCUCUCUCCUUGUGCUCCUUGAGAGAUUCAUCAGAGGAAGAUGGACAGAUUGAGUUGCACGAACGCGAGGUUACGAGACCGAGUAGUGAAAAAGGAUCGAGAUCAUGGAUCGGGAUUGAGACAGGGAUCGGGACCGAGACUGGUCGAAUCAAAGCAAGAGGAGAAGACGAGAUCAUGAAUACUAGGUUUCUGGUAAUCGAGUUGUUAUGGUAGCGAAGGGAUUCUAAUUUAUGGAUCAAAGGGCAAAGCUCCUCCUAAGGCUGAGUGGAUGGCCCUAGAAGUGCUCAGAAAUGAACCUUCAGAUGAAAAAUGGGAGCUCUGUACAUUGCAGCAGCCGUAGGGGGGAAUGAACCCAAUGCAAGUUGUCGGUGCGGUGGGUUUUCAGCAUCAUCGUCUUGACAUUCCUGAUGAUAUGGAUCCUGUUAUUGCAAAUAUUAUUACGAAAUGCUUGAAUGCGUACAUUCUUUUUGUUACAACUGCGGAUCUCCUCUAAUAGCCCACUACUGUAGUAAAUGUAAGCAUCAAGUCCUCAUAGAUGUCAGCCUUUAUGUAUUCAUGAAACUUCUGUUUUCAAUCUGCUACAGGACAUAGUGAUGGAAGCAGCCAUCUUAACAAAUGUGUAAGAUGCUCAUCUUUAAUGCAAUUUUUUUAAAAACUUUUUAACGAUUUGUUAUGAAUUCUUAUUAAAGAUUAGUGCUAGACACAAAUUCUGAUCUCUGUUGUAAUCAACAAAACAAAUUCAAUUUGGA